rnacentral:ribozyme from 13 species
GGAAGAGAAUCGAAAGAAGGACGAAAAAUCAAAAUUUCUGAACCAUUUGAAGCCCACAACUCUGGACCUUUUUGGGGACUCUCAUUUUCUUGUUCUUUGAUAUUUUUGUCUCUGUCUUUGUUUCUUUCUUCUUCUCU